AGUGAACGCUGGCGGUAGGCCUAACACAUGCAAGUCGAACGGCAGCACAGUAAGAGCUUGCUCUUACGGGAGGCGAGUGGCGGACGGGUGAGGAAUACAUCGGAAUCUACUUUUUCGUGGGGGAUAACGUAGGGAAACUUACGCUAAUACCGCAUACGACCUACGGGUGAAAGCAGGGGAUCUUCGGACCCUGCGCGAUUGAAUGCGCCGAUGUCGGAUUAGCUAGUUGGCGGGGUAAAGGCCCACCAAGGCGACGAUCCGUAGCUGGUCUGAGAGGAUGAUCAGCCAUACUGGAACUGAGACACGGUCCAGACUCCUACGGGAGGCAGCAGUGGGGAAUAUUGGACAAUGGGCGCAAGCCUGAUCCAGCCAUACCGCGUGGGUGAAGAAGGCCUUCGGGUUGUAAAGCCCUUUUGUUGGGAAAGAAAAGCAGCAGGUUAAUACCCCGCUGUUCUGACGGUACCCAAAGAAUAAGCACCGGCUAACUUCGUG
rnacentral:rRNA from 1 species